rnacentral:rRNA from 1 species
AUGGAAUCAUCGAGAGCGCCUUCUCGCCGACAAGUACUGCUUGGAGCUCAGCUCAGUGGCUUACGACAAGUUCUGGCAGUUCGACAAGGAGGCUCGCCAGAGGAUCUCAUCCGGAGGGGUAUGGCGACCAAAGAGGAGGAUGGCAAGCUGAAGCUGGCCAUAGAGGACUACCCGUAUGCCAACGACGGGCUGCUGGUCUGGGAUGCCAUCAAGGAGUGGGCGUCGGACUACGUGGAGCACUACUACCCGUGCAUGGCGGACAUCGUCGACGACGAGGAGCUGCAGGGAUGGUGGACGGAGGUGCGCACCAAAGGCCACGAGGACAAGAAGGACGGGCCGUGGUGGCCUCAGCUGGACAGCCACGAGAGCCUGGUCCAGGUGCAGGCCACCAUCAUGUGGGUCACGUCGGCGCACCACGCCGCCGUCAACUUUGGCCAGUACCCCUUUGCCGGGUACUUCCCGAACCGCCCGAACAUAGCCCGGAGGAACAUGCCGUCCGAGAUGGGCGUUGAGGGCAUGGACGCUUUUGAGGAGGCGCCGGAGAAGGUGCUGCUGGACACGUUCCCAUCGAUGCACGAGAGCAUAUUGGUCCUUGCGAUAAUGAACCUCCUGUCGUCUCACUCGCCGGACGAGGAGUACAUGGGCACGUACCAAGAUCCGGCGUGGGAAGAGAACGUCAAGAUCAGCAAGGCGUUUGACAAGUUCAAAGGGGGGAUGAUGGAGAUCGUGGCGCAGAUCAACGAGUGGAACAAGGAUCGCAAGCGGAAAAACCGGCACGGUGCCGGUGUGGUGCCCUAUGUGCUGCUCAAGCCGUCGGAUGGUGAUCCCAUGGACGAAAAGAUGGUGACGGAGAUGGGCAUUCCCAACAGCAUCUCCAUUUGA